GUGAGUCAUCGAAUCUUUGAACGCACAUUGCACCCUCUGGUAUUCCGGAGGGUAUGCCUGUUUGAGUGUCAUUAAUCUCUCAACACAGACAGGUUUUACUACUUGUUCUGUUGUUUGGAUGUUGAAGGCUUGCUGGCAGUAAUGUUAGCUCCUUUUAAAUGCAUUAGCAGAAAGCAUGCAGAACUGGCUUCAGUUUGAUAAAAGACUUAUCUGUGUUGCUGUCGCCAGGAUAAUGCUAGUUAUUUCAGCUUAUAAUAGUCCAUCUAGGACUGUCUCAUUGAGGCAUACAAACUUGACACUUGACCUCAAAUCAGGUAGGACUACCCGCUGAACUUAAGCAUAUCAAUAAGCGGAGG
rnacentral:rRNA from 1 species